rnacentral:rRNA from 1 species
CUAAGCUUGACAUCCUUUUGACCGAUGCCUAAUCGCAUCUUUCCCUUCGGGGACAGAAGUGACAGGUGGUGCAUGGUUGUCGUCAGCUCGUGUCGUGAGAUGUUGGGUUAAGUCCCGCAACGAGCGCAACCCUUAUCUUUAGUAGCCAGCAGUAAGAUGGGCACUCUAGAGGGACUGCCGGGGAUAACCCGGAGGAAGGUGGGGAUGACGUCAAAUCAUCAUGCCCCUUAUGACCAGGGCUACACACGUGCUACAAUGGCGUAAACAAAGAGAAGCGAAGUCGUAAGGCAGAGCGAAUCUCAAAAAUAACGUCUCAGUUCGGAUUGUAGUCUGCAACUCGACUACAUGAAGCUGGAAUCGCUAGUAAUCGCAGAUCAGAAUGCUGCGGUGAAUACGUUCCC